CCUACGGGGCGCAGCAGUGAGGAAUAUUGGUCAAUGGGCGAGAGCCUGAACCAGCCAAGUCGCGUGAAGGAUGACGGCCCUAUGGGUUGUAAACUUCUUUUGUCAGGAAGCAAUUGGGUCCACGCGUGGGCUUAGCGAGAGUACCUGAAGAAAAAGCAUCGGCUAACUACGUGCCAGCAGCCGCGGUAAUACGUAGGUGGCAAGCGUUGUCCGGAUUUAUUGGGCGUAAAGCGAGUGCAGGCGGUUCAAUA
rnacentral:rRNA from 1 species